ACGGAAGCCGGGUGAGGCCAAGGUCGAGCCGGAAGAGAAGGCUCGAUCUCCCGACCUCGGCUCCCCAGCACGAGUCCCGGAACCCACGCGGCGCACAUGCCGCGGAACAGGCAAAAGUGUUGCGGGCCUGCGUAAGUGCGAAGAUCGGACGGCCACGACGGCCCUUUGGGUGGGGUCGCAGCCGAAACGGAUCGCACAGCGCCGAGGCCACCCACGCAACCCACAACGCACGCAUGGUAACCGGAGGCUCGUGCUGGCGGGCGGCGCGCCGAAGUACUUUUCGAAUUACUUCGGAACGUCGCCCGCUUUUGCUU
rnacentral:ncRNA from 1 species